rnacentral:rRNA from 1 species
UACGAAGGGGGCUAGCGUUGCUCGGAAUUACUGGGCGUAAAGCGCACGUAGGCGGCUCUUUAAGUCGGGGGUGAAAUCCUGGAGCUCAACUCCAGAACUGCCUUCGAUACUGAAGAGCUCGAGUCCGGGAGAGGUGAGUGGAACUGCGAGUGUAGAGGUGAAAUUCGUAGAUAUUCGCAAGAACACCAGUGGCGAAGGCGACUUACUGGACACAUAUUGACGCUGAGGUGCGAAAGCGUGGGGAGCAAACAGG